rnacentral:misc_RNA from 1 species
GAUGAAGAACGUAGCGAAAUGCGAUAAUUAAUGUGAAUUGCAGAAUUCCGUGAAUCAUCGAGUCUUUGAACGCACAUUGCGCCUCAUGGUAUUCUGUGAGGCAUGCCCAUCUCAGCGUUAGUAAAUAUUAUCAAAUUUUGGCCUUGUGUCGAAGUUUGGAUUAUGUCAAGGAAGCUAUUACUAUCAAAGUGGAUAGCUCUUUGGAAAUUAAUAGGUCUUCAAGUGGCUAUCAUUGAAACGUGAUGAAAAUUACUUCGUUCCCAUGUAGUUUACUUGUAUAGUCCUGAAACUUAUAUAUCUUUAUGGUAUUUUUUGAAUUUGACCUGAGAUUGGGUAGGGAUACCCGCUGAACUUAAGCAUAUCAAUAAGCGGAGGA